UACGUAGGGUGCAAGCGUUAAUCGGAAUUACUGGGCGUAAAGCGUGCGCAGGCGGUGAUGUAAGACAGAUGUGAAAUCCCCGGGCUCAACCUGGGAACUGCAUUUGUGACUGCAUCGCUGGAGUGCGGCAGAGGGGGAUGGAAUUCCGCGUGUAGCAGUGAAAUGCGUAGAUAUGCGGAGGAACACCGAUGGCGAAGGCAAUCCCCUGGGCCUGCACUGACGCUCAUGCACGAAAGCGUGGGGAGCAAACAGGAUAGAUAC
rnacentral:rRNA from 1 species